CGAGGGUGCAAGCGUUGUCCGGAUUAUUGGGUUUAAAGGGUGCGUAGGCGGCUCUUUAAGUCAGUGGUGAAAGCCGACAGCUUAACUGUCGAAAUGCCAUUGAUACUGGGGAGCUUGAGUACAGUAGAGGUAGGCGGAAUUAAUGGUGUAGCGGUGAAAUGCAUAGAUACCAUUAAGAACACCGAUUGCGAAGGCAGCUUACUAUAGUGUAACUGACGCUGAGGCACGAAAGUGUGGGGAUCAAACAGGAUUAGAUACCCUGGUAGUCCACACUGUAAACGAUGAUCACUCGCUGUUGGCGAUAGACAGCCAGCGGCUUAGCGAAAGCGACAGGUGAUCCACCUGGGGGAGUGCGCUCGCAAGAGUG
rnacentral:rRNA from 1 species